UACGUAGGGGGCUAGCGUUGUCCGGAAUCAUUGGGCGUAAAGCGCGUGUAGGCGGCCCGGUAAGUCCGCUGUGAAAGUCGGGGGCUCAACCCUCGAAUGCCGGUGGAUACUGUCGGGCUAGAGUGCGGAAGAAGGCGAGUGGAAUUCCUGGUGUAGCGGUGAAAUGCGCAGAUAUCAGGAGGAACACCUAUUGCGAAGGCAGCUCGCUGGGACGUAACUGACGCUGGAGACGCGAAAGCGUGGGGAGCAAACAGG
rnacentral:rRNA from 1 species